rnacentral:rRNA from 1 species
GACGAACGCUGGCGGCGUGCUUAACACAUGCAAGUCGAACGGAAAGGCCCUGCUUUUGUGGGGUGCUCGAGUGGCGAACGGGUGAGUAACACGUGAGUAACCUGCCCUUGACUUUGGGAUAACUUCAGGAAACUGGGCUAAUACCGGAAAGGAGCUUCUGCUGCAAGGUGGGGGUUGGAAAGUUUCGGCGGUUGGGGAUGGACUCGCGGCUUAUCAGCUUGUUGGUGGGGUAGUGGCUUACCAAGGCUUUGACGGGUAGCCGGCCUGAGAGGGUGACCGGCCACAUUGGGACUGAGAUACGGCCCAGACUCCUACGGGAGGCAGCAGUGGGGAAUAUUGCACAAUGGGCGGAAGCCUGAUGCAGCAACGCCGCGUGCGGGAUGACGGCCUUCGGGUUGUAAACCGCUUUCGCCUGUGACGAAGCGUGAGUGACGGUAAUGGGUAAAGAAGCACCGGCUAACUACGUG